rnacentral:lncRNA from 1 species
CAAAACAGACUGAGAGGAGGAGCCACAUCCUCGAGGAAGCCCUAGCUGAUUAUGUUUACUUUGACAUGUAUUUACUGCUUUACUUAUUGUAUUCACAAAUGUACUUACAUAUACAUCAAUACAAUGAGUAGACAAAUUUCUUCAAAAUUGUGCAUAUUGAUCUCUACUUGCUUGUGUGUUCAACUCACUUCCUUUUUGAUACGAUGACAAAAAGGGGGAGAAUAUAUUUAAUAGAUAUGUAAAAGGAAAAAGGAAUACAUGAAAAUCCAUAAAAAGAAAAACUUUUAAAACACACAAUAAUUUGUUCUUAGUGGAUUUAAU